rnacentral:lncRNA from 1 species
GAGUUUCAACUGAUUUUACAAAGGUCUAUUUUGAUUGUCUUAAGUACCUUUGUAAAGUGGCUUUUCUGGCUUCAAUAUGUGCCUUGACUUGUUUGUUUAAUUUCCAUGUAUAAUGACAUAGUGUGGCUACAUCAUCACAAUAAUAUCUGACAACAUUAAAACAAAUGAAUAAACAGAGACCGACCUAUCAAUGGAACAUAACCGACCUUCUAAGCUUUGAGUGGGUUGCUAGACACCUACUAAAGAAAGAAGAACGGAUCACGUCUUCGUGACUCGAGUGGCUGAAAGCUAUCACUAAUCUGCAACAAAAAUAAGGGAAACUAACUUGUGAGUCACAAAAACUUCAUGAGUGAAUACGGGAAGGGGACAAGCGAAGGGGGAGAGUUUUUGCACAAAUUACAUUGUUGAUGUAAACAUGAAUCUUCAUAUAAACAUACUUCAUUCUUUUCAAAGUUCUCACAAAAUAGAGCUCUUAUAAACCAAUCUUAAUUUCAUGGUAAAAUCGACAUUUCAUAAACAUAUAGUUCUUUAAAUAAGCUAAAAAUUUAUACAAAACCUUUAGGAAAAACAAGGAAGUUGUACCUUACUUGUGGCAUUGAAUCCUCCCUAUAGUUAUUUAAAUAAGCUGAACAUUUAUGCAAAACUUUUAGGUAAAACAAGGAAGUUGUACCUCACCUGUGGUAUCGGAUCCUCCCUAAAGGAAACAAUACUUAUCCAUAUAAACCCAAACUAUGGGUAAUUUCCUCCAAACUUUUCAUAAAGCAUAUGAGCUACUCAUGUACUCAAGGUUAUCUUAUAGGAUUAAAUCGUAACAUUUUUUAGAUCAUUUUCCAAUCCCUAUAACUCAAGCAUAAAUUUCCAAUCCAAUAUCUCAAGUAAUCAUAUUUUCUAAUCCCAAGAACUUAAAUAAUCAACUUUUGAUCCAUGGAACUCAAGUGGCCAUUCUUUCCUUAUAAUCCAUAAACUCAACCAAUGCAUUGGAACUUAUUUUACUGAUUAGUCUUUCUUGACUAUCUUAUAGCUUAGAGUUUAAUUUACAAUUGAAUCAAACAUUUCAACCACAAAAACAUCACAAUACAAGAGUAAUAUGCAAUAGUCAAGAAUGCAAGGAUGCCUACUAGGUUUUAGCCCACGUCUAGGCUAGGUGAGUGGCACAUCGGCCUCAUCAUGUUAAGCAAUGCCACCAUGUAGUGGAAUUUUACCUCACCAUGUGUGGGCAUCGCUCGAUACAUAUCAUUAAGCAUUGGCACCAUGAACGGAAUGUUACCUCACAUUGUGUGGAAACCCUAUCAUCAUCAUACUAAGCAUAAUUCACCACGGGUGGAAUGUUAUCUCACACCACGCAGAGCAUUAUCAUCAUCAUCGUACUAGACACAAUUCACUAGGUGCAGAAUAUUACCUAACACCAUGUGAAAGCUCUAGGAAACAUUCACAUGCAAUUAUUAUUCCAUUUUGACCAUCUUGAGCACCUUUGUAAAGUUGCUUUUCAGACUUCAAUAUGUGCUUUGACUUGUUUGUUUAAUUUCCAAGCCAUAAAAGUAAUUCAUUAAACCAAGAUCUAACAUUUCACAUUCAUCCUGCAACUCUGACUUGAGUUGAGAUACUACAACUUCAUCUUUUCCUAUAACAAGAAAAUCAUUAACACAUAUUAACACAAUCAAGUGAGUUGCUUCAUUAGACUUCAACAUAUACAAUGUAGCUUCAUUAUGACUUUUCUCAAGGCCUUGUAUCAGUAAGUGAGUAUCCAUUCUGUUGUACCAAGUUCAAAGAGCCUAUUUUAAGCCAUACAAGGAUUUACAAAGUUUAUAAACCUUGUUCUUAUUUUAUUCAAGUUUAAAUCCCUCUAGUUGUUCUAUGUAAAUCUUUUCCUCAAUAAUGCCUUUGAGAAACGUAGGUUUUACAUCAAAAUGAUGAACAUUCCAUCCUCGAGAUGCAGAUGAGUCAUGAAAUAAUCUAAUAGUAUCAUAUGUCACAUCUUAAUUUCAAGACCAUGAUCGUAGCAAAGGUCUAAUGGGAAAGGCCCACUCGACCUAAGCAAGCAUUAGAAUAACAAAUAAAAUCCAAGUAACAUAUUAUAAACUGUCAUGACCCGGCUCUCGGGGCCUAUGAUUGAUGCAAAGACCUACGUGGGUAUGGCCCACUAUAUCCAAGCAAGCCUUUCAAUGAUCAUGUGUGGGCUAGUCAUCCACCACAUUCAUUCAUACAAACAAUUAAUAUAUAUAAUCUCCUACAUGCAUGAGUGCCAUCACACUACUAUGGGACUUCUCAACAUAAGGUGUGGAAAUGCUUUCUUUCAUUAACAACAUUUGUAUAGCGUAUAUUUCAUAUCAACAUUCAUAUGCGCUCCUUGGUGCCUUAAGCCAUCAUCUAUCACAUUUGUAUAAAUCUAUGCAAGUGUAACACCAUCCAAUAUCUUCACAAUCAAAACAUGUUCAAUAGUAUUUAAACAUGAAUAUAAAGACUAACUCAUCAACGGAACAUUGCUCAACCCUCUAGGUUACAAGCGACUGCUAGAACACUUACCAAAAAGGAACAGAUCACCUUUCCUUGACAUGGGCUGUUGGAUAGCUAAUGAUUGAUUUGGAAAAAAAUGGGAAACUAAUGUGUGAAUCACAAAAACUCCAUGAGUGAAUAUGGGAAGUGAAAAAGCCAUUGAGGAAGAGUUUUUGCAAUAAUCCAAACUUUGCAAAAACGACAUGAAUUUCAUAAACAUCAUUACAAAUCCUUUCAAUGCUCAAAUAAAAUUAUUUCAAAUCAUUUCUUGUGAACACAAUUUAAAAUCCAAGUUAUUUAAACAUUUAGAUAAAACAUAUCUAUAACUCUAAAUACAAAACAUUUGCGAGGAGAAAACAAAAGAUUUCCAUAUCUUGGGUACCGACACCUUAGCCUUUGGUAACAAUACCAUUCUUGCUUACAAACUUCGUCGAUGGGUACUAUUCAUCACAUUUAAGUCUACAAUUUCUUUCUAGCACUCAUACUUGCUAAUUCUCUAAAUAAUCAUUCAACACAUGAACACACAAUUUGAACAUCUAAUUAAUCGUAUCAACAUUCCAUACUGGGACAACAUCAUCAAGCUCAUCUAUAAUUCAUAGUAUCAAAUUUCUUACAUAAUACUAAUGUCACGACCUGGUACUCCCCUCAAGCCCAUGACAACAGUCGCGGUGUCCCAAUAAACACUCAUUACUCGGAAUGCCAACUGGAACCCCGCAAGGCUUUAAUAUCAGUUUCUCAUUUUCCCUAUGAGUAACUGUUUCCAAAUAUCAUGUUCUAAAAGAUUUUAAACUAUUUCCAACUUAAAACAAUAAAAAAAUAAUUUUUGUCUCAUCGGGGUAUUUUAUUCAUUUUUUCCUAAAAAUUUCAAAACCAGGUAAUAAUGUAGUAUACGGGUGCAAAACACAUAUUUCAUAAUCAAAAAUAAAUUUGGAUGUCUAAAACAUUUUUUUAAAAUGAAAUUAUGACUAUUAGAAUAAAAUAAAAUAUUGAUUAAAAUAUUCAAUUUUCUCAUAAAAUAAUAUUUUUAGAACACUACGUAAAUAAUUUUUUACAACGUAAAAGCAAAAUAAAUUCAUGUAUACUGUAAUACAGUAAACCAAAGUAUUUAAUUUAAUUUACAGUAACAAGUGGGCCCUCGAAUAACCAAAAGUAUGAAAGACUGUGAAUUUACAAUUUGGAAGAUGCAAAUCCAGUGCUAGUCCUCGAUGAAAUGUCUAUCUAUAGACUAUCCUGAACCUGAAAUGGGUGGAAGUGAGGGUGGUGAGAUUAUAUAAUCCUAGUGAGUAAACAAAUAUCAUCUAAAAUAUCUAAAGCUGAGUAAAUGGAGACAGAUAAAAUAGAUUAGCAUAAUUAAUUCAUAACAUUUCAAACUCAUUUUUAUGAGAUAAAAUAAAUUUAUUUCAUCCAAAUAAUCAUUGAGGCUUAUGAUUUUCUGAAAAGCUUGGCUCGUGCAAAAAAAAAAAAAUCAUUAUUAUACUCAGUUAUCAAGGAUACUUUGGCCGAAAGCUAUCCCAACUGAGUCCGCCAAGGCUAUAAAAAAAAUUAUAUACACAUAAAUCAUGUUUUUAUUUUGAAAACAUAGUCGUUUCUUGCCGUUGGCCGAUUUCACCCUCACGUGGUGGUUUUGCAUGAAGUGAACUCUAAAGUGUUAACCUCAGAAGUUAUCCAACCGCGCCUCUCAUACUAAGGUAAGAUAUAACAGGGUUUACCGUGCCCCUUUAAUAAGCUGGUCCACGGAAACCCGCCCACUGCAGUAAACUAAUUGAUAUCCACCAAAUCAAUAAAAUUCCAACAGCAUGACGUGGUAAUUAUUUUACAACACAGCAUGUCAAGGCAAAACAACAAUUCAUACAUUUUCAGCACAUUUACCAAAUCCAGCCACUCAUGCCCACAUUAUCAUAAGCCAUUCAAUUCAAACCAUAAUUUACAACACAUCAAUUAGUCUCCAAUUACUCCAUUUUCCAAAACCAUCAUUCAAUUUCAAGACAAUUUUAUAAAAUCAUUUCAUUUAAUCACAUUUUGCUUUUAAAGCAUAAAGAUUUACCAUUUAAACUAAUUUUCCAUAAAAUCACGAAAACAAAUAAAAACUACUUUAGAUAAUCAAGAUGAUGAUAAGGUUACUCACAAUCUCUAAAGUGCGGAUUUUUGAAGUACUCUGACUACUGGUCCUCGGAUGCAAUUUCCUUGCCUUUAUCGGAGGACUCACCACCUUGACAUAGUACAUAAUGAAGAAACUUCCUACAUUGGUACUAAAUCAAAAUUAAACUAAUUUAGACUACUAAUGCAUGAUAUGGAAUGCAAAAUGCACGGGUAACCAUCUAAACCCGGUAUUGGGCUAAUUCGUCUUUUCACCCGAUUAAUUGGCCAACGCGUCUAAUUUAGCUUCAAAGUGCUCGAUUUCUUUUCCAAUACCUUAAUUCACCAAACAUAAGUCAAAUAACCUAAAAUUUGGCAAAAGCAUCUUCACUUUUCUUAGAAUUUUUGGUCAAUAAUGGUGCAUUAACACCGUGAUUUCUCCUACUACUUUUUCACACCAUAAUUCAUCAUUUUCUAACCAAUUCUCUUAAAAUAAAAAAAAUCAAUUUCAUCCUCACUCAAUGCAAGGUAGGUUCGACCAUUGAUGGGUGAUGGGGAAAAUGAAUUCUUUUCUUGUUGUUUUACUUCUAGACAUAGUAAACUAACUAAAAACACUAACAUAACUUGAAAUCAAAUCGAUCCAACAUCAUUAUCUCUCCAUACCCAUUCGGCUAGCCAUGAAUUCACCAUAAAAACAUGAAAUUGAACCAUGAAAAAUAAGGAGAAAUGCUUAAGGAAAAUAGAUUUCAAGUUGAAAUUGAGAAAUCCUACCUUUUUCACUUGUUUUCCUUGAUUUUUCUCACUUUUUUUCUUGAAAUUCUCCACCUAGGGUUUGUUAUUUCUUUGUUUCCCUCUUUUCCUUGCUUGGCCGAAUAUUUGGAGAGAAGUAAGAGGUUUAUAGGCUGAUUUUUAAAGGAAAUAAUAAAAUAUUAUAAGCUUGACAAGUGUCAUUUUAUUAUUGGUCCAUUUUUAAAACUUUAAAAAUUUAAACUUUUUAUCUCCACCAUAUAUAUUUUCUCACCUAUCCAUAACAUAAAAAGUCAAUGGAUUAAUUCUAUGAGCAUGACAAGUGUUGGUGGUGUAAAAUUACAAUUUUGCCAUUGGGGUGGCAAAAUUACCAUUUUACCCUUAUGCUCUGAAAAAUACCAGAAUUACAAUUUUUCACUUCUCAACCUCAAAUCAUACUCCAAUAAGUCAAAUGUGAUCAAAAUCUUUCAAAAAUCUUCCAUUUUGUCCUCGAUUGGCAAAAUUACCAUUUUGCCCCUAGAUAGUGGAAUUUUCGAUUUGACUCCAAAUUGAUCCUCGAACCCCAAAUCACCAUUUUAAAUCAUUCCUGGACUGUAAAAAUUUCAAUUUCACCUUAAAAUCUCUAUUUGAUCUAGUUCGAGGCUUAAAUCAAUUUUGUUGUACCUUUAGGUACAAUAUCGAUUUUUGUAAAUUUUUCAAGAGUCUCUUAGCAUGCAAACAUGCUAUCCAUCACACAUAUGUCAUGACAAGUAUUUUAUAAGGUCGGGCUUUAUAGCACUACCCCCCUUACAAUAAAAUUUUGACCUCAAAACUUCACUUACCGGAUUCCAAGAAAAGAUGUGGAUAUUGGUCUCUCAUCUGGUGCUCAACUUCCUACGUCAUCUCUUCCAUUCGAGCAUUUUGUGGCAUCCCCCUCGAGGGCCCACUCCAAUGUAUUGUUGUAUUCGGGUCCCCAUCACUUGACUUACUCGUAUUCACCACGCUUAACGAUGGCACCACAGGACUUGCAAGACCUUCUCACCAAGCUUCGAACUCAAGACCUUUUGCUACCUUCGAAGGGAACACCUUUAACCAUUGGGAUGUUUUUAUUCCUCAACACUCGAUCCUUUCGAUCUAAAAUACGUACGGGUUGCAUCUAAGUCAAAUCAUCCUUAAAUCAUCAAUCAUGCAUGUUUACUUAACUAUCCACAAUUUCUCUACCUUGACCUUUUAUCAAACCUUCCAACAUUCAAGCAUUUCAUAAUACAUAAGGAUCAAACACCUUUUAUUUAUCCAUAUAUAUAUAUUUAACAUCACAGAUAAUUAAAAUUUGAUAACCAUUAGUAACCAUAUUCUCAAAAAGAAACUCUCAUAUUUUAUGAUCAAGUACUUAUUAAGUAGAUCUCGACUAUUACCACAAUACGUUUAAAUAAAUAAAGAUACUUUUGGAUGUAUCCUUAUGGACUUAAUCAAUCCUUAAAAUUCCUAGGUCAUAACCAACUGGUUAGUUAUACGUCACAUACAAACAUAUUCAACUUGUGAUUCCUCAAAUUUACAUCCAAACACUAGAUCUCAUGGCCUCAUUAGUUUAUCAAUUUGGAAAUGAAAAUAAACAUUUAUCUCCCCUCACGUACACUUUAAAAUCAAAGUAUCAUUUAUUAAGAUUUUUCUGAUAUCAACUUCCUUCAAUCCCUUUUUCCUUAGAAGAUUAAAUCCAUAAUCAAUCAUUUUGAGUCAUGGGCUUAUGCCAAUCAAGGCGGAUUUUCACACCUUUGAUUACAUGAAUUCGAUUGCACAUAUUCACCUAUAAGCUAUAAACCUUUCCCCAAAUCUUUAUAUACCAAAGCUGAUAUAUUAUUUAUAUUAUUUCCAAUCAUAUGCUUGAGUUUCAUCAUGCUAUAUUCUCACAUCACAAUGUCAUUAAUCAUAUCUCACUUGCUAAAUGUCACUUAAAAACUUAGACUGAUUCGAAUCAUGCAUGCCUUAAGCAUUUUCAAAUUCCAAUUUCCAUACUAUUUUAGGAAAUUUUCAUUAUCAAGCUUCAUUAUCCAAAUUAUCUUCAUUCAUCCUUUGUUCUGUUCUUCCAUACUAAUGUGAUAUCAUUCUCCCUAGACCAAUCUGCAGUGUGUACUUAAAACUGUAAGACUUGAAAUAUGGUUCUUCUAAGUACUUUUCAAUGUCAAUACGAAUUUCACUUCCAACUUACGGCUUCCACUUUACAGCCACAUAACUUAAUGCUAGCUUCCAUAAAAUCCGUAGCAAAACUCUUCUUGAGUAUUUCCUUGGGAAUAUCUAUCUUAGACUUAUGUCUCACAGUAUAUGAUCACUUAACUUGUGACUUAGCCGUUAGGCUCCUCAACAAGUUUUACAAAUCUCACAUUUCGUACUUACCGUGUAUGAUUAGAAAUUGUUUUCUCAAAGAUGUUUAUGCAUUUGUAAAACACUUAAUCUUAAAGGUAUAUAAAUACGUACUCAUCCAUUCAAUCCCUAACUCAUCUUCAUAGGUUUCUAGGGUGCCACACAAUUGGCCUCAUGUUGUUACUAACCCUUGUCGUUUAACUGAAUCAAGACAAAAAUUGUAAAUUCUCGUAUUGAUAAUCUAUAUAAACUGGUUCUCUAUACUAGUCUUGUAAUUCUUCAUUCACACUUUCAUCACUUGGUAUCUUAUCUCAAGGUAGCCAUCUUAAGAAUUUUUCAAUUUUUAUUUUAAUUAUAUGCUCAUAGAGGAGGAGAUAAAGAAGCUUUCAAUUUAUUCAGGUAAACAUUCUCCAAAAUUUUUAAAACUCCCAAAUAAUAAAGUUUAAUGACCAAUAGCCAAAAUUCAAUUUGUAAGCUCAUUAUUGUGCCACUCCCAUCAUACUCGUGUAUCAUAGGCGUGAGGUAUUCAGAGCAUUGCAGCACUGGACAGUUAGUGUUGUGACGUUGUAACUAUUAGAAAUUUCCUCAUCAAAGCUAUUUGUCUGCAUUCAAAGUCACCACAUCAAUCAUUCUCAACUAGUGGGUUUCCCUUCUAGACAUAUAUCAUGAGUACCAUAAGCAUAGGUACCUUCUAUUUUCUUGUCAUACACACUAAGCCAAGUCGAUACUUUCAACUCAUGUCAUCUUUUGACUUUCAUCAUCAUUCAUAAAAUCCCACCUUAAAACAUCCUUUCCAUACGGUGUAAUGAAUUCAUGAUACAUAUACCACCUCACUUUAUUCUCGCAAUCCUUAUUAAAUCAAAAUUUCAUAUUCCCCAUAUUCAAUAAUUUAACUUCAUUGGGCUAUAUUUGUGCCCAAUUAUUAUCUCAUAAUGUCAUGGCAUCACUGAGUAAUCCCUUUCAUGCUUAAAUUACAAUCAUCAACUUAAUCACGUUAUCCAUUCUGAAUGUCAUUUACAACCUUAUUGCUUCUUCCUAUACCCUUCCUCAAUAAUUAUAUUACCAAUUUAUCUUUGUCAUACAAAAAAAAAAUUGCCUUACACAUCUAGUCAUUUAAACAGCUACUUUAUAAUCCAUUAUAGUCAUACACUUUAAAAGCCAAACUAUUAACUUCUUUGCACAGAUAACUAUUAUCUCCUUUACACUACAUCUACCUAGAGUUAAAGUAGUACAAAAUCCUACGAAAAUAUUACAUGUCAUUGGGAUCAUCAUCUUAAUCUGAUCUUAUCGGAAGAUUUUACUCCAAGUCCUUCUUAAGAUCCUUUUCCGGGUUCUCCUCUUCCUGUGAUUUUCUCCUUUGCUUCUCAAUCCAAGGUUGUUGUAUUCUCCUACAUUCCUCAUAACUCACCGGUGCAGCAUUUCUUCCACAACCGGGAGGAAAAUGUCGUACAACGUUCACCUUCAUAAGGGGAUAAUUUGUAAUAGUUACUUUCUCCUUAUUCUUUUCUUGUUGUUCAUUCACAUUCAUCCCAUAGCCUAGAGGAUAGUGUCGAACAACUGACACGCUCUUCCUAGAACGAAUAUAUCCCCUUUCAAUUUCCUCCCUCGUCCAUUCUCUAUGGUACUCUUUAGGUUGUUUCAAAAGAAAAUUUCUUACAGUUUUUGGAGUAUCGGAGCUAUCCUCACUUUCAAGACUCUCGGUACUUUCAAAGCUUUCUUUAUUACGAAACCAUUCUGCUAAGUUCGGAGGAAUUCUAUUAGUAGGAAUUCGGGAUGGACCCCUUUCAGAAUUAUUUGGAUUAGGGCGCCAUUGGCUUCUAGCAGUGGAAACUAAUGAUCCCUCACUAGCACUAUGAUGAGGGGUACCGGGACUACUGCCUCUUCUAGACAUGGUGUGUAUGUCACCAGUGCACCUCAAAACCUAUACGCAACCAAGUAAUAAUUACUUAAUCAUUCAUGCAUCACAAGAGUAGGUAGGUUUCUAUAUGUAGAUGCAUGCAUUCUAUUCAAUCUAACCUAACUUAACUUAGGGCCACACCAACACUGUAAAUUUUUAAAACAAAUUUAAAACAAAAGCUCUGAUAUUUAAAACCAAAUGCUCUGAUACCAAUCGAAUUGUCACUACCUAGUACUCCCCUCGAGCUUGUGACAACCGUCGUGAUGUCCCGAUAGAUACUCAUUACCCGAAAUGCCAACCGGAACCCCGCAAGGCUUUAAUAUCAUUUUCUCAUUUUCCCAGUGAGUAACCGUUGCCAAAUAUCACGUUCUAAAAGAUUUUAAACUAUUUCCAACUUAAAACAAUAAAAAAAUAAUUUUUGUCUCACCGGGGUAUUUUAGUCAUUUUUCUCUGAAAAUUUUGAAACCAACUAAUAAUGUAGUAUACGGAUGCAAAACACAUAUUUCGUAAUCAAAAAUAAAUUUGGAUGUCUAAAACAUUUGUUUAAAAUGAAAUUAUGACUAUUAGAAUAAAAUAAAAAUAUUAAAUAAAAUAUUCAAUUUUCUCAUAAAACAAUAUUUUUAGAACAUUGCGUAAAUAUUUUUUUACAGCGUAAAAGCAAAAUAAAUUCAUAUAUACUGUAAUACAGUAAACAAAAGUAUUUAAUUUAAUUUACAGUAACAAGUGAGCCCUCAAAUAACCAAAAGUAUGAAAGACUGUGAACCUACAAUUUGGAAGAUGCAAAUCUAAUGCUAGUCCUCGACGAAAUGUGGUAUCUAUGGACUAUCCUGAACCUGAAAUGGGUGGAAGUGAGGGUGGUGAGAUUAUAUAAUCUCAGUGAGUAAACAAAUAUCAUCUAAAAUAUCUAAAGCUGAGUAAAUGGAGACAGAUAAAAUAGAUUAGCAUAAAAUAAUUCAUAGCAUUUCAAACUCAUUUUUAUGAGAUAAAAUAAAUUUAUUUCAUCCAAAUAAUCAUUGAGGCUUAUGAUUUUUUGAAAAGCUUGGCUCGUGCAAAAAAAAUCAUUACCAUACUCAGUUAUCAGGAAUACCUUGACUGAGGGCUAUCCCAACUAAGUCCGCCAAGCCUGUAAAAAAAAUUAUAUACACAUAAAUCAUGUUUUUAUUUUGAAAACAUAGCCGUUUCUUGGCAUUGGCCGAGUUCACCAUCACGUGGUGGUUUUGCAUGAAGUGAACUCUAAAGUGUUAACCUCAAGCGUUAUCCACCUACGCCUCUCUACUGAGGUAAGAUAUAAUGGGGUUUACCUUGCCCUUCUAACAGGCUGGUCCACGAAAACCCGCCCAUUGCAAUAAGCUAAUUGAUAUCCACCAAAUCAAUAAAAUUCCAACAGCAUGACGUGGUAAUUAUUUUACAACACAGCAUGUCAAGGCAAAACAACAGUUCAUACAUUUUCAGCACAUUUACCAAAUCCAGCCACUCAUGCCCACAUUAUCAUAAGCCAUUCAAUUCAAACCAUAAUUUACAACACAACACUUAGUCUCCAAUUACUCCAUUUUCCAAAACCAUCAUUCAAUUUCAAGACAAUUUUAUAAAAUCAUUUCAUUUAAUCACAUUUUGCUUUUAAAACAUAAAGAUUUACCAUUUAAACUCAUUUUCCAUAAAAUCACAAAAACGAAUAAAAACUACUUUAGAUAAUCAAGAUGAUGAUAAGAUUACUCACAAUGUCUAGAGUGCGGAUUUUCAAAGUACUCUAACUACUGGUCCUCGGAUGCAAUUUCUUAC